AAGAAUCCUCCGAUUCAAGUGCAAGUGUGUCUUCCGUAAAGUUGUUCGCAUAAUUUGCUCUCCGAACGCAGCAUCUACAACCGUAGGAACAAGUAUUUUCCCAUAUAAUCGUAGAUGCCUGGAAUGAAAAUGGAAAUAUUAGAGAACCAGCUAGAAACGG
rnacentral:sRNA from 1 species